rnacentral:rRNA from 1 species
UAGGGAAUCUUCCACAAUGGACGCAAGUCUGAUGGAGCAACGCCGCGUAAGUGAAGAAGGCUUUCGGGUCGUAAAACUCUGUUAUUGAAGAAGAACGUGUGUGACAGUAACUGGUCAUGCAGUGACGGUAUUCAAUCAGAAAGUCACGGCUAACUACGUGCCAGCAGCCGCGGUAAUACGUAGGUGGCAAGCGUUGUCCGGAUUUAUUGGGCGUAAAGCGAGUGCAGGCGGUCUUUUAAGUCUGAUGUGAAAGCCUUCGGCUUAACCGAAGAAGGGCAUCGGAAACUGGGAGACUUGAGUGCAGAAGAGGAGAGUGGAACUCCAUGUGUAGCGGUGAAAUGCGUAGAUAUAUGGAAGAACACCAGUGGCGAAGGCGGCUCUCUGGUCUGUAACUGACGCUGAGGCUCGAAAGCGUGGGUAGCAAACAGGAUUAGAUACCCUGGUAGUCCACGCC